rnacentral:rRNA from 1 species
CUACGGGUGGCUGCAGUCGGGGAUAUUGCACAAUGGAGGAAACUCUGAUGCAGCGACGCCGCGUGAACGAAGAAGGCCUUCGGGUCGUAAAGUUCUGAUGUGAGAGAAGAAGAUAGUGACGGUAUCUCACCAGCAAGCACCGGCUAACUACGUGCCAGCAGCCGCGGUAAUACGUAGGGUGCAAGCGUUGUCCGGAAUUACUGGGCGUAAAGGGAGCGUAGGUGGUUAUAUAAGUCUUUAGUAAAAGGCAUUGGCUCAACCAAUGUAGGCUAGAGAAACUAUAUAACUUGAGUACAGUAGAGGUAAGUGGAAUUCCUAGUGUAGCGGUGAAAUGCGUAGAUAUUAGGAGGAACACCAGUGGCGAAGGCGACUUACUGGGCUGUAACUGACACUGAGGCUCGAAAGCGUGGGGAGCAAACAGGAUUAGAUACCCCAGUAGUC